CAUUUUGAAGAACUAGUCGAGAUUAACCAG
rnacentral:piRNA from 1 species